rnacentral:rRNA from 1 species
UGAGGAAUAUUGGUCAAUGGGUGCAAGCCUGAACCAGCUAUCCCGCGUGAAGGACGACUGCCCUAUGGGUUGUAAACUUCUUUUGUAUAGGGAUAAACCUACCCUCGUGAGGGUAGCUGAAGGUACUAUACGAAUAAGCACCGGCUAACUCCGUGCCAGCAGCCGCGGUAAUACGGAGGGUGCAAGCGUUAUCCGGAUUUAUUGGGUUUAAAGGGUCCGUAGGCGGACUUAUAAGUCAGUGGUGAAAGCCUGUCGCUUAACGAUAGAACUGCCAGUGAUACUGUAAGUCUUGAGUAUAUUUGAGGUUGCUGGAAUAAGCAGUGUAGCGGUGAAAUGCAUAGAUAUUACUUAGAACACCAAUUGCGAAGGCAGGUUACCAAGAUAUAACUGACGCUGAGGGACGAAAGCGUGGGGAGC